rnacentral:rRNA from 1 species
UACGUAGGGUGCAAGCGUUAUCCGGAAUUAUUGGGCGUAAAGAGCUCGUAGGCGGUUUGUCGCGUCUGCCGUGAAAACUGGAGGCUCAACCUCCAGCCUGCGGUGGGUACGGGCAAACUAGAGUGCGGUAGGGGAGAUUGGAAUUCCUGGUGUAGCGGUGAAAUGCGCAGAUAUCAGGAGGAACACCGGUGGCGAAGGCGGGUCUCUGGGCCAUAACUGACGCUGAGGCGCGAAAGCUAGGGGAGCGAACGGG